rnacentral:rRNA from 1 species
UACAGAGGUCUCAAGCGUUGUUCGGAUUCAUUGGGCGUAAAGGGUGCGUAGGCGGCGCGGUAAGUCGGGUGUGAAAUCUUGGAGCUUAACUCCGAAACUGCAUUCGAUACUGCCGUGCUUGAGGACUGGAGAGGAGACUGGAAUUUACGGUGUAGCGGUGAAAUGCGUAGAUAUCGUAAGGAAGACCAGGUGGCGAAGGCGGGUCUCUGGACAGUUCCUGACGCU